UACGUAGGGCGCGAGCGUUGUCCGGAAUUAUUGGGCGUAAAGAGCUCGUAGGUGGUUUGUUGCGUCUGCCGUGAAAACCCGAGGCUUAACCUCGUGGCUUGCGGUGGAUACGGGCAGACUUGAGGUAGGUAGGGGAGAAUGGAAUUCCCGGUGUAGCGGUGAAAUGCGCAGAUAUCAGGAGGAACACCGGUGGCGAAGGCGGGUCUCUGGGCAGUAACUGACGCUGAGGAGCGAAAGCGUGGGGAGCGAACAGG
rnacentral:rRNA from 1 species